rnacentral:tRNA from 1 species
GUUUUGGUGACCGAGUAAGAGGUGAGAGAUUUUUAAUCUCUUUACAGGGUUAUCCCUCCAAGAUA